UCCAGAAACUCGGAAAGUACUGGGCUACAUUUUGUUUAUAGAACAAAGCUUCUAUGGAAUCAUCACCAAGGAAACCAGAAAAUUGGCCUUCGAUUUAGCUAAUCAAAAUGGUAUCAAUUAUCCAUUCAACAAAGAUAAUAAGAUUGCUGGAAACCAUUGGCUGAGUGCCUGAAGCAACCUCAGAAGCCAGGGCACAAGAAGUUAACCGUGUGGCUGUGGACAAGUUUUUCAAUCGGUAUGAAACAACCAGUCGUUCAAAGAACAUUCCGGAUCACAAAGUUUUUAACGUAGACGAAACUUCCAUCGUUGCGUAAUUUUGCUCCAUCAAUUGUUACUGACAUAACAUUCCCGGAUGCAUUAGCUAGUGGUGCAGUAGAUCCAGCAGAAGAAGCAAUGGAAGAUCCAGAUCUCGGGAGUAGAUUACCGAGGUUAUCGCUAUGACAUCAAAGAGGGACACGAAAUUUUCUAGUUUUCCCGAUUCUGAUGAUGAAGGCUCAUUUUACGGGUUUGGUUUACAAGUGCCUGGUACAGCUUCAUCUACCAAGAACAAGGUACAGAAGACAGAGCCACAGAAAAUCGACCAAACAAAGACCACUUGUGAAACUGAAGAUUUAGAGUUAUCGCUUGCGACGGUAUCAGUCUUCACCAAGACCUAAGAAGGUUGUUUCAACGUUUCUCCCUUCUCAAUUCGGCCGUUACCAAAAUCAAGUUGCAGAAAGACAAUGUCCAUGAGAAAAAGCUUCCAUCCUCACAUUGAGUUCGAAUCGAGAAUUUUGUACGGAGA